rnacentral:rRNA from 1 species
CAGUAGCCGCGGGAAUACAGAGGGUGCGAGCGUUAAUCGGAUUUACUGGGCGUAAAGCGUGCGUAGGCGGUUAUAUAAGACAGAUGUGAAAUCCCCGGGCUCAACCUGGGAACUGCAUUUGUGACUGUAUAGCUAGAGUACGGCAGAGGGGGAUGGAAUUCCGCGUGUAGCAGUGAAAUGCGUAGAUAUGCGGAGGAACACCGAUGGCGAAGGCAAUCCCCUGGGCCUGUACUGACGCUCAUGCACGAAAGCGUGGGGAGCAAACAGGAUUAGAUACCCCCGUAGUCCCUGUCUCUUAUAC